UGGGGAAUAUUGGGCAAUGGGCGCAAGCCUGAUCCAGCCAUGCCGCGUGAGUGAUGAAGGCCCUAGGGUUGUAAAGCUCUUUCACCGGUGAAGAUAAUGACGGUAACCGGAGAAGAAGCCCCGGCUAACUUCGUGCCAGCAGCCGCGGUAAUACGAAGGGGGCUAGCGUUGUUCGGAUUUACUGGGCGUAAAGCGCACGUAGGCGGACUAUUAAGUCAGGGGUGAAAUCCCGGGGCUCAACCCCGGAACUGCCUUUGAUACUGGUAGUCUUGAGUUCGAGAGAGGUGAGUGGAAUUCCGAGUGUAGAGGUGAAAUUCGUAGAUAUUCGGAGGAACACCAGUGGCGAAGGCGGCUCACUGGCUCGAUACUGACGCUGAGGUGCGAAAGCGGGGGGAGCAAACAGG
rnacentral:rRNA from 1 species